UUUUUUUUUUUUUUUUUUUUUUUUAAAUAGUGUAUUUUUUUUUCCAUUUUUUUUAAAAGAAGAAAAAACAACAACAAAAAAAAGACUUGCCAGUCAAGGACUUUAAAAAAGAAUGACUUUGCUUUUCAUAUUCUGUUCAAAGACAGUCUAUUUUUUCACGGUAGAACACGUCCUCUGUGAUCCAUGAGUCAGUCGAGAACUCGGGCCUGACCCACCAAGGUUCCUUCAGCUGGCUCUCCUGUGUUUUGUUUUUCCUCCCAUGUCGCAAGCUGUGCCUGACCUGGCCCCCCUGCCCACGUAAGAAUGAGAUGUCCUUUUCUUCCUGGUUUCUAUUCUUCCUUUUUUGCCCCCUACUGUUUUUUAAUUAGAUUUUCAGACAUAUCAAGUAUGGUCCUGAGGGUGGGGCAGCACGGGACUCGGCCCUGUCCCCACCGGCCUGAGCACCCGGAGGGCACCUAGCAUGGCGGGGUCGGGGUCCCUGACCCAGGGACCCCGGCCCCGCCAGGAUUUUUCUCUUUGUAUAAGAGCAGAUCUGCCGUUGCUUUCAACACUUUAUUCAAACGGAAACAGCUGGGUGGUUUCCCACCUCUGUAUGUAGAUAAACCAACUUUGUAUUAAAGGGAGAUCGUCCGACCCGGCCCUGUGGAGUCGUUCUUAAGCCCUCAGCGCAUCAUGAGCCCAGUGCCAAGCACCGUGAGUGCCACUGCCUUCUCCAGGGAGCCCUGGGGACACAGGCCAUGGGGAGGGGACAGCCUGGGCCACCCUGGAGCAGAACCACAGCCGAACCAGCACGGGCUGGGGCUAGAGGGCACUGCACCCUGAGUCUGCACCUCCUGUCGGGACCGGGACAGCAGGCUAGCGCAGUGAGCACAGCAGGGGCUUCGUGGAAGCACCGUCCUGAGGGGGCGCCCUUCAAACACCAGCAGAGCAAGGCAUCAAAAACUAGUCCUAGCACCGGGGAUUUAGCUCAGUGGUUCCACCGCCUGCCUCGCAAGCGCAGGGACCUGAGUUCGAUCCCCAGUACCAAAAAAAAAAAUUAGACCUAAAUAACCCUAACCACAGAUGAAAUAGGUGUCAAAAUUGGCACUGGCAGAUUUGUGAGGCUGAGGCAGGAGGUUCUUGAGUUCAAGCCCAGCCCAGGCAACUCAGACACUUAGAUCCUGCUUCCAGACAAACCAAAAGGAAAACCAGAAAUCCAAAAUGAAUGUCAUGAAGCCCCUGCAGUGCGGCCAAAGGUAUAUUCAGAAGAAAAGUCAUACCUUUGGAUACAACUGAUAAUAAAACAAGUUUUGAAAAUAUUAAAUGAGUCAAGGUCCAAUUCAAAUAGCUCUGAAAGAACAGG
rnacentral:lncRNA from 1 species